rnacentral:rRNA from 1 species
UGCAGUCGACGAGAACGCAUUUCGGCCCUGAUUGAAGUGGCGCACGGGUGAGUAACACCUUCGUAACCUACCUCUAAGUUGGGGAUAACCUGUCGAAAGAUGAUCUAAUACUGAAUAAUACCAUUUUUUCCUCGGAAACAGGGGUCAAAGGUAGCAUCUAUUUUGGGAGGUCUCUUAGACAUGGGCCUGCAUACCAUUAACUUGUGGUGAAGUAACACCUCACCAAGGCAAACAUGGUUAGCUGGUCUGAUAGGAGGAUCCCCACACUGGAACUGAGACAAUGUCCACACUCCUACGGGAGGCACCAGUGGGGAAUAUUGCACAAUGGGAGAAAGCCUGACUCAUCAACGCCGCGUGAGUGAUGAAGGCCUUCGGGUAGUAAACCUCUGUCUGAGGGAACCAAUGCUCUUGAGGUUAACACCCUCAGGAAAUGACCGUACCCUCAAAGGAACCACCGGCUACCUCUGCGCCAUUUUUUAGCGGUAAUACAAAGGGUGGGAGCUUUGUUCGGAAUUAUUGGAUUUAAAGGGCUUGUAGGCGGUAUGUCAGAUCAUGUGUGAACUCCUUCGGUUCAGCCGGAAAAAGACUAAUGACACUGGGAAGCUAGAGAACCAAAGAGAUUAGUGGAACUCCCGGUGUAGCGAUGAAAUGCAUACAUGUCGAGAGGAACACCUGGCUGAACGGCGGCCCCCUGCAUAGAUACUGACACUCAUACCCGUAGUCAUGUGCACCAUACGGGAUUAGAUAUACGCGUUNUCCUCUCCUCUAACNAUGGGCAGUAGCUGAUGAUUGAGUCUUCGAUCCGNUGCAGUGCCGGC